rnacentral:rRNA from 1 species
UACGUAGGGUGCAAGCGUUAAUCGGAAUUACUGGGCGUAAAGCGUGCGCAGGCGGCUCCUUAAGUCAGAUGUGAAAGCCCCGGGCUUAACCUGGGAACUGCGUUUGAAACUGGGGAGCUGGAGUGUAGAAGAGGGGGGUGGAAUUCCAGGUGUAGCAGUGAAAUGCGUAGAUAUCUGGAGGAACACCGAUGGCGAAGGCAGCCCCCUGGGCUAACACUGACGCUGAGACGCGAAAGCUAGGGGAGCAAACGGG